UUAGAUCACCGAAGUCAAGCAUCAUUGGGCGCGGUCAGUAAUUGGGUGGGUAACCACCAGGGAACACCGCGUGCCGUU
rnacentral:rRNA from 1 species